CCAGAGCAAACCUUAGUCCUGCUGUGGUGUAUUGCUGAUGUGACCUCCCAGAGGACUGGGGCUGGAAGCCUCCAGGUCCCGGGCUUGGCUGCCCUACUGCACCAGCUCUGCCUAAGCUCCGUACUCAAGGACCUUGUCUCAGAUGAAUUCAUACCCCAGCGAAGACAACAGUCAGGGGAGUGGAAAGAUCAUCCCAGUGGAGCCAGGAUAUCACAUGUACAGCGGCGUCACUAGCUGUGGCCUUGUCCAAGACAUGGAGCCUCUGGGUCCUGCGUUCUCAGCAUCAGAUUCCUAGGAUGGAGACAUGCAGAGGCACAGAGAGACAGCCUCACUUAUGGACCUCAGCCCCUCUCAGCACCCACAUCCACACUCAGAGGCCUCAUGGAGAGAGCCAGGCCAGAGAGGUACUGGCCAGUGACAGUCCUUCCACUGGGCUCUCCAAGUUCAUGGCAGUGAAGUGGAAAGUUCUGCUUGGUGUCCCUUGGCCUCAACCCCUGAAGUGUCUGUGAAGGAACAUUGCCUCCCAGGCUUCCCAGAAAGUUUGUGAAUUCACCACAGGUCAUGAACAAAAGCACAUGGCCUGGCUUUGGCCUUUUCUACCCUCCCUCAUUUGUGAAGCUACUGUUGCAUUUGCACCUGGAGCCCACGUUGACCUCUUCAGCCUCCCUGCAGAUCUUCAUUCCCCCUGAAGGGCUGAGCCUUCCUGGAGAUGGGAUAAGGGAGAGAAGUGGAGAGCGUGAGCUGGUCUGAGGACCGAUACCAUUGAGUGAGGAGGAA